UACGAACCGUCCGAACGUUACUCGGAAUCACUGGGCUUAAAGGGUGCGUAGGCCGCGCGGAGGGUGGGAUGUGAAAUCCCCCGGCUCAACCGGGGAAUAGCGUCCCAAACCGCCGUGCUCGAGGGAGACAGAGGUGAGCGGAACUGAUGGCGGAGCGGUGAAAUGCGUUGAUAUCAUCAGGAACACCAGUGGCGAAAGCGGCUCACUGGGUCUUUCCUAACGCUGAGGCACGAAAGCUAGGGGAGCGAACG
rnacentral:rRNA from 1 species